UACGUAGGGUGCAAGCGUUGUCCGGAAUUAUUGGGCGUAAAGAGCUCGUAGGCGGUUUGUCGCGUCGAAUGUGAAAACCCGGGGCUCAACCCCGGGCCUGCAUUCGAUACGGGCAGACUAGAGUUCGGUAGGGGAGUCUGGAAUUCCUGGUGUAGCGGUGAAAUGCGUAGAUAUCUGGAGGAACACCGGUGGCGAAGGCGGCAUCCUGGACCAACACUGACGCUGAGGAGCGAAAGCCAGGGGAGCAAACGGG
rnacentral:rRNA from 1 species